CGCCUCUUGCAUUCUAUGUAUAAGAGGUCCCGCCUGCCCUGUGACUAUAUGUUUAACGGCCGCGGUAUUUUGACCGUGCAAAGGUAGCGCAAUCACUUGUCUUUUAAAUAAAGACCUGUAUGAAUGGCAUGACGAGGGCUUAACUGUCUCCUUCUCCCGGUCAAUGAAAUUGAUCUCCCCGUGCAGAAGCGGGGAUAUUAUUAUAAGACGAGAAGACCCUGUGGAGCUUUAAAUGAUGAGAGAUUUUAUGCAACAAACCUAAAAAGGUAUAAGCGAAUUUAUACUCCCUCUAAUAUUUUUGGUUGGGGCGACCGCGGAGUAAAAAGAAACCUCCGUGAGGAAUGAGGUAAUUAACCUUAAAUCCCAGAACGACAAUUCAAAGAAACAAAAUUUUUGACCUAAAGAUCCGGCAAAGCCGAUCAACGAACCUAGUUACCCCAGGGAUAACAGCGCAAUCCCCUUCAAGAGUCCCUAUCGACAAGGGGGUUUACGACCUCGAUGUUGGAUCAGGAUAUCCUAAUGGUGUAGCCGCUAUUAAGGGUUCGUUUGUUCAACGAUUAAAAUCCU
rnacentral:rRNA from 4 species